GACGAACGCUGGCGGCGUGCCUAAUACAUGCAAGUAGAACGCUGAAGAGAGGAGCUUUCUCUUCUUGGAUGAUUUGCGAACGGGUGAGUAACGCGAAGGUAACCUGCCUUGUAGCGGGGGAUAACUAUUGGAAACGAUAGCUAAUACCGCAUAACAAUGGAUGACACAUGUCAUUUAUUUGAAAGGGGCAAUUGCUCCACUACAAGAUGGACCUGCGUUGUAUUAGCUAGUAGGUGAGGUAAUGGCUCACCUAGGCGGAGAUACAUAGCCGACCUGAGAGGGGGAUCUGCCACACUGGGACGGAGACACGGCCCAGACUCCUGCGGGAGGCAGCAGUAGGGGAUCUUCGGCAAUGGGGGCAACGCUGAACGAGCAACGCCGCGUGAGUGAAGAAGGUUGUCGGAUCGUGAAGCUCAGUUGUAAGUCAAGAACGGGUGUGAGAGUGGAAAGUUCACACUGUGACGGUAGCUUACCAGAAAGGGACGGCUAACUACGUG
rnacentral:rRNA from 1 species